rnacentral:rRNA from 1 species
CAGUAGCCACGGUAAUACGGAGGGUGCAAGCGUUAAUCGGAAUUACUGGGCGUAAAGCGCACGCAGGCGGUUUGUUAAGUCAGAUGUGAAAUCCCCGAGCUUAACUUGGGAACUGCAUUUGAAACUGGCAAGCUAGAGUCUUGUAGAGGGGGGUAGAAUUCCAGGUGUAGCGGUGAAAUGCGUAGAGAUCUGGAGGAAUACCGGUGGCGAAGGCGGCCCCCUGGACAAAGACUGACGCUCAGGUGCGAAAGCGUGGGGAGCAAACAGGAUUAGAGACCCCAGUAGUCCCUGUCUCUUAUAC